GAUAAACGCUGGUGGCGUGCCUAAUGCAUGCAGGUCGAACGGGGGAUGUGGCUUCGGCCGCAUUCCUAGCGGCGGAUGGGUGAGUAACGCGUAAGUACCUACCCCUGAGAGGGGGAUAACCCCGAGAAAUCGGGGCUAAUACCGCAUAAUCGGUGGGAGACCACCAAAGCCGAAAGGCGCUUGGGGGAGGGGCUUGCGUCCGAUUAGCUAGUUGGUAGGGUAAUGGCCUACCAAGGCGAAGAUCGGUAGCUGGUCUGAGAGGACGGUCAGCCACACUGGGACUGAGACACGGCCCAGACUCCUACGGGAGGCAGCAGCAGGGGAUAUUGCGCAAUGGGCGAAAGCCUGACGCAGCAACGCCGCGUGGGGGAAGAAGGCCUUCGGGUCGUAAACCCCUUUUCCCAGAGAAGAAUAAAUGACGGUACCUGGGGAAUAAGUCUUGGCUAACUACGUGCCAGCAGCCGCGGUAAGACGUAGAAGGCAAGCGUUAUCCGGAUUUAUUGGACGUAAAGAGGGUGUAGGCGGUUCUUCAAGUCGGAUGUAAAAUCUCCCGGCUCAACUGGGAGGGAUCAUUCGAUACUGUUGGGCUAGAGUGCAGCAGGGGGAGAUGGAAUUCCCAGUGUAGUGGUGAAAUGCGUAGAUAUCGGGAGGAACACCAGUGGCGAAGGCGGUCUCCUGGGCUGUUACUGACGCUGAGACCCGAAGGCGUGGGGAGCGAACAGGAUUAGAUACCCUGGUAGUCCACGCCGUAAACGAUGGGAACUAGGUGUAGCGGGUAUUGAUCCCUGCUGUGCCGGAGUUAACGCAUUAAGUUCCCCGCCUGGGGAGUACGGUCGCAAGGCUA
rnacentral:rRNA from 1 species